rnacentral:miRNA from 1 species
AUGGCUAAAAACCACAACGCGUUUCGCCCUUAGGCUUUAUCAAGUGAUCUCCACUUGAUAAAGCCUAAGGGCGAAAUGCGUUGUGGUUUUUUUAAACUAUAUUGUUUUAA